UACGUAGGCAGCAAGCGUUGUUCGGAAUUAUUGGGCGUAAAGAGUGUGUAGGCGGUGCUCUAAGUUUGGUGUGAAAUCUCCCGGCUUAACUGGGAGGGUGCGCCGAAAACUGGAGUGCUUGAGUAUGGGAGAGGUAAGCGGAAUUCCUGGUGUAGCGGUGAAAUGCGUAGAUAUCGGGAGGAACACCAGUGGCGAAGGCGGCGACCUGGGCCAAUAUUGACGCUGAGGUGCGAAAGCGUGGGGAGCAAACAGG
rnacentral:rRNA from 1 species